rnacentral:rRNA from 1 species
UACGGAGGGGGCCAGCGUUGUUCGGAAUUAUUGGGCGUAAAGGGCGCGUAGGCGGCCGAUCAAGUCUGACGUGAAAUCCCUCGGCCUAACCGAGGAACUGCGUUUGAAACUGUUCGGCUCGAGUCCGGAAGAGGCGAGUGGAAUUCCUGGUGUAGCGGUGGAAUGCGCAGAUAUCAGGAGGAACACCGAUAGCGAAGGCAGCUCGCUGGGACGGUACUGACGCUGAGACGCGAAAGCGUGGGGAGCAAACAGG